rnacentral:misc_RNA from 1 species
GGAAGGAUCAUUAUUAGAGAGCAAAGAGAGUGUUGUGGUGGGGGGUUUAGGGUUCGACGCCCCCCUCAUUACACGAUUAUCACGAAAAUGUGGAACGAGUUUGGAGUCAUGUGUGGACGCGCGCGGGGACACUUGUUUCCCGCACCGGACAAGAAUUUCGAAUGACGCAUCUGCGAAUAUUUUACAUGAUAUAAAAUAGUGUACAACUCUUGGCAAUGGAUAUCUUGGUCCCCACAACGAUGAAGAACGCAGCGAAAUGCGAUACGUCAUGCGAAUUGCAGAAUUCAGUGAAUCAUCAAAUCUUUGAACGCAAGUUGCGCGGAGCAGAGUCCUGCCCCGCAUGCCUCUUUGAGUGUCGGUUUUCGAGUAUCUGGCGUGUUUCGGCGCGAGAGGAGUCUGGGUGUCGGGGGGGCGCAUGCGCAUGCCCCGUUUCCUGAAACAUUAAACAUACAGACACGCGCACUGGGACAUUGGAACUCGCUCCAAGUCGCGUCUGUUCACACACACAAACAAGAUCUCAAAUGAGGCAAGACUACCCGCCGAAUUUAAGCAUAUAAUUAAGCGGAGGAAGAGAAACUAACCAGGAUUCCCUCAGUAACGGCGAGUGAAGCGGGAAGAGCUCAAACCGAAAAUCACUGCCCGGAGACGGACAGCGAAUUGUGGUCUAUGGAGACGAGUUCAGCGGCGGCGCCGGCCAAAGUCCGUUGGAAGACGGCGUCGGAGAGGGUGACAAUCCCGUAUCUGGCUGGGGAUCGACCGCCGCGUACGAACCGCUCUCUACGAGUCGGGUUGCUUGGGAGUGCAGCCCUAAGUGGGUGGUAAAUUUCAUCCAAAGCUGAAUACGUGUGGGGGACCGAUAGCGAACAAGUACCGUGAGGGAAAGAUGAAAAGAACUUUGAAAAGAGAGUCAAAAGUGCUUGAAAUUGCCACGACUAAAGGGAUGACAACUAGUAUCGGCCCUGGCGAUCUAACUGUGAGCCGCGUGGCAGGUGUCGUGUCGCCGAUUGGCGCGAGCCUUCGUGGGCGCGGCGCGCAUGUCGCGGCCUAGCGGGUUCUGUCGCCGGGCUCAGGUCAGGAUGGAUUCUGGGGAUUAUUGUCGUCGAGAAGGGCUGCGGCAAGGUGGCUGCCUCUCCGGAGGCAGAUCUUAUAGGUCGCGGUCGAUGGACGGCCCGGGAUCGAGGAUAUCAUGCAGAAUUGGACGCCUUCGGGCUGGGCGCCCUGGCCCCGCUUUGGUCAGGACGUCGCCGACCGGGAGACAUGGUCUCCGGGCCGGUGGGCGUUCGCCAACGGGCCGCGGGUCACGCACCACUGUCCAAUCAGGAUCCUGACGAAAUGGUUGCCAUUCACCCGUCUUGAAACACGGACCAAGGAGUCUUACAUGUAUGCGAGUGAUCGGGUGGGAAGCUCGUUCGCGCAAUGAAGGUGACAGGGAGGAUGCGACGGCGGCGGGCAACCGUCGCCGGCAGCAUCGGGCGGCCGCAGCUGCGGUACGACCCGGAGCAUAAAUGUAGGGACCCGAAAGAUGGUGAACUAUGCUUGAGCAAGACGAAGCCAGGGGAAACUCUGGUGGAAGUCUGAAGCGAUACUGACGUGCAAAUCGUUCGUCUGACUUGAGUAUAGGGGCGAAAGACUAAUCGAACCGUCUAGUAGCUGGUUCCCUC